AGAUUGAACGCUGGCGGCGUGCUUAACACAUGCAAGUCGAGCGGUAACGCGGGAGCAAUCCUGGCGACGAGCGGCGAACGGGUGAGUAAUGCUUGGGAAUCUGCCCAUUAGUGGGGAACAACCAGCCGAAAGGUUGGCUAAUACCGCAUACGCCCUACGGGGGAAAGCGGGGGAUCGAAAGACCUCGCGCUAAUGGAUGAGCCCAAGUCGGAUUAGCUUGUUGGUAGGGUAACGGCCUACCAAGGCGACAAUCCGUAGCUGGUCUGAGAGGACGACCAGCCACACUGGGACUGAGACACGGCCCAGACUCCUACGGGAGGCAGCAGUGGGGAAUAUUGGACAAUGGGGGGCAACCCUGAUCCAGCGACGCCGCGUGUGUGAAGAAGGCCUGCGGGUUGUAAAGCACUUUUAGUGGGGAUGAAAAGCUCAGGGUUAACACCUCUGGGUCUUGACCUAACCCACAGAAAAGCACCGGCUAACUCUGUGCCAGCAGCCGC
rnacentral:rRNA from 1 species